AGGACUCCAUUACUGACACUAAAUCUUCACAUAGCAAAAAGAUGUUUGCUGCUAUAUUAAUGUUCUGAAUAUCGAGUAUAGCCCCUUUAAAG